UGAUUAGAGAAAUGGAACGAUUGAAAUACUACAAGGAAUUGGUGAAAAAAAACAUGCUAAUUUGGGCCGAAAUAUCCAACUCAGAUAAAUGGCAUGAUUGCCCACAUAAAGAUCACAUGAGUUGACCCAGAAAAGAACCAACCAACCAAUCAUUCAUUCAUUCAUUCUCAAUGGGAAUAAGCAAUUGGAGUAUAUGAAAAAAGGAGUUCAGACUAAUUAAACUGGUGGUAUAGGGUAAUCCAAUCUUUCAACGGGUCAUCAUAAAAAUCGAGUCUUUUUUUGUAUUCAAGAAUCAGAAAAACCCAGUUCAGCAACAAUAAAGCAUACCCAAAUGAAGUUGAAUUAAAUAAAUAAAACAAGAGAAAAAUGAGUUGUUCAGUAGAUUAUGGUUCGUACCGUUGGUUCAAGAGAAGACAAAGACCAAACAUGGAAGUUUGCUGAUCAAACUCUCCUCUCUCUCUAUCCUUCGUCUUCCUCUGCAAAAGAUUUACAAGUGCGCGUGAGAAUAGGGUGUGUAUGAAGAAGCGGGC
rnacentral:lncRNA from 1 species